AAACCGUGUGCAUACAAACAGUAGGAGCCUCCUUGUGGGGUGACUGCGUACCUUUUGUAUAAUGGGUCAGCGACUUACAUUCAGUGGCAAGGUUAACCGAAUAGGGAAGCCGUAGAGAAAUCGAGUCGGAACAGGGCGAUAGUCGCUGGGUGUAGACCCGAAACCAAGUGAUCUACUCAUGGCCAGGAUGAAGGUGCGGUAACACGCACUGGAGGUCCGAACCCACUAAUGUUGAAAAAUUAGGGGAUGAGCUGU
rnacentral:rRNA from 1 species